UACAGAGGGGGCAAGCGUUGUCCGGAUUUACUGGGCGUAAAGAGCGCGCAGGCGGCCGAGUAAGUCGAAUGUGAAAGCCCCCGGCUCAACUGGGGAAGGUCAUUCGAUACUGUUCGGCUCGAAGAUAGGAGAGGGAAGCGGAAUUUCAGGUGUAGUGGUGAAAUGCGUAGAUAUCUGAAGGAACACCAGUGGCGAAGGCGGCUUUCUGGCCUAUUCUUGACGCUGAGGCGCGAAAGCUAGGGGAGCGAACGGG
rnacentral:rRNA from 1 species